rnacentral:tRNA from 1 species
AAGAAUUUAGUUGAGUUUACAAUAAUAAAUUGCAGAUUUAUAGGAGUCAUUACAAUUCUUU